GACAGAUUUAUACACAGUUAGGUAUGCCUGAAUCUUACAUGCUAAAAGGACAGUUUCUACAGGGAAUAUAGUUGAAUCAAGUUUUUAAAGCAGAAGGCUUUCCUUCCGCCUCGUCCACUUAUCAGGUCAUGGAUUGGUGGAUUGAAAACGCCUGUCUUGUGUCUCCUCCCUGCAGAUUUGCACGCCCCCGUCCCAUGUUUUGGAAUUUUAUUUAUGGCAGGCGCGCUCUCGGCACCCCUGCGCUGUUAUUCGCCUAGGACUGACUGGCACCGUAGGAUUACAAUGACAAGCAAUUUGGGACCGAUCCAGGCUCCCGCUGUCAUACAAAGUACAGAUCCGUCGUGAUUGAAUCCCAAUUCACUGAAUAUUAAUUCAUGGACUGUUUCAGUGUGAACAUGCUUGGAAGAAUAGCUUCUGCAAUAUAAGGCUCUAUGCGAUUGAAUGUGUGGUAAUGAAGCGGCUGGACUCUGACUCCAAUGGCCUUUUCUCAUCGGGAGAAAACUCAGACAAUGACUGUGAGGAUGUAAUGGGAGCAACUUGUGGCGAGACCGGCACAGUGUGUCUGUGCGAUAGAGGCUCUUGCGCAACCUACUGUGAACAACAUCCCCAAGCUGAUACACAAAAAUGUGAACAAUGUGGGAAAAAUCGUGUUCUGUUCACCAGAUACUCAGAGGGCUAUGGUACAGAGGAGGAGUGUGUCCAGUCAGAUCCUCAGGGAGAAAGUGAUGCUGACGCUGAUAUUGAGGACACAGAUAGCAGGCUGCAGGUGGACGGUUCCCUGCAGCGAAUCAGCUCUCGAAAACGGAAACGUCAGCGAAUCACCAGGCAGGACACAACCGAGAGUGAGGACGACGGUGGGCGGAGUCACAAAACUCAUCGGUGGAAUCUUAGACUGAGUCCCCACCGCACUCACAACAAGACCAUUUUGGAGGAGAGUGUCUCACAGGUGCGGCCCCUUGUACUUUGCCGCUGCACUGCUGGCGAGGGCCAGACCACACAGGCAGACGCUCCCAAGGGGACCAGGAAGUUGCUCCUGGCCCUGUGGCCCUCGUCCUUCUCCAGUCCGCUCCUCCUCUUCCUCAUCUUCCUUCCUCUCGCGUUGAGCUUCAUUAUCGUGAUCGUCUCCUUCCUGCUGCCACUGACCAACACUUGACAGUCCGUCGUUUCAUGGUCUGUGUCAUGCUGUUUGGGUCCAUUAAAGCCGUGUGUUGUGUGUCCUAUAGCAACUGGUAGUUCCCUCCCUGUCCCUCUAGCCAUAACUAAACUAAAACUGUUCAUCUGUUUAUCUGUUUACCACUUAAUACUGUGCAAAAUUACAGCUGUGCUUGUACUGUCAAUUAUUUCAGAAUUUAGAUGGUUGCACUUCUUGCUUAAUUUAAUUGAAAUAUUUUGAUGAGCAUAGAAUUAUUUUAUGUACUUGGCUAAAACAUAGAUAUGUCUAUUUUUAUAGUGCCAGUUCCUGGUUGCAGUUGUACGCUUUUGGAUCCCAUGAAAUCAGUGAACCUUUAAAUGAUCAAAUCAAAUCUAAUGUAUUAUAGGUUUUAAUGAACCUUGCUGUUGACUACACACUAAUGUGAGUAUGUCCUUGUGUGCAAACUUACUGGAAGUCAAAUAAGUCAAUUCUUUCUUUCUCAGUUCUCAACCUACCAUUUCUAACAAAAACAGAGCAUUCUGUCGCUCUCUCUUUCUCUCUCUCUCUCUCUCGUUCUCUUUCUUCGGUGAGUGGGAGAGUGAAGGUCAGUGAGAAGGCCGUUUGUGGGAGAAGUGACAUAACUAUGCAAUCUGCAGUCGCUGCGUGUGCAAGUCUCUGCCUGAACUCAAGCACCCCUUAGAAGAAGCUUAAGCACAAUCACAGAAUCGUGAACAUUAAACUGAAAAUGUGUUUACAAAGCAAGCAACUGGCGGACUCUUAGUAUCUUAUCCUGUGUUGGUACUGAGGAAACACUAGCCAACCAAAUACACUUGUAUUGUAUAGACAGAGGGUUCCAUAUUUUGUGAUGUUACAAAAUAUUGCCACCCCAUUGCUUGCCUUUGUAGUGUAGUCCUUGGAAUUGUGUCUAUCUGUCGGUCUUGUUGAGGCACUGAGGUGCAAAGAAGCCAAACAAAAAGCACAAGCCAUUGAUAAUGUUAUUACGCUCUUCAGUAAUACAUUUAGAACCUGUCCUCCCUACCUCAGUAGAUAGGGACUGCCCAUAGUUCUAGUGGCAGCCAUUAUUAUUAGCAUUUAUGUGUGUUCUCAUCGAGUGAGUCAUUCUGAUACACUGUAUCUCUUCGCUCCCUACUCCCUUGGUCUCGGGGUCCUAGGGUGCCCUAUUUAAUGUCCGAGAUGUAUUUAAUCAAGGUGUAGACAUUAGAGGUGCUUAGCAACCAAACAUUUCUUGGAUUUAGGACUAAUUCAACUAAUUAGGUGGAUUUUGCUGAUCCAUUGCAUGGGUGAAAGAAAACAAGGAACAAGCCUUUUUUCCUUUCAGAAGUUUUACUUUUAGUCUUUAAUAUUGUUCUUGUCAGACAUGUUGCAGGUCUGGCCUGGCACAAACACUUUCUGUGUGAUCUCCUUUGUAGAAAGAUUCAUGGAUUACUCAUGGACUCAUUUGAAAUGUGAAAGGGAUUCUUUGUUGAUAAACCAAAGGUAACCCCAAGACUGUGUUUAACCUUGUGUGUGGGUGGUCAGCAAAGCUAUUGGAUAACACUGUCUACUUGUCGAUCCCUUGAAAAUGUGAUUUAUAUAUGAUGUGUGGGUAUGUAAGAGUGACCUGAUUGAAAGGUUGAUAACUGAAAGCUUCUAAAACUGCAGUACUUGCAGUGUAGGACACGCUGCCUACACCCAGUCUGAACCUAGCAGCUCUUUCAUAGAUGUUGUCAUGAAAUGUUAUGUCGAAAGCAAGACUGAUAAACUAAGCCUUUGUGACGCCUCACAAAUAAUAUGGUAUGUACGAAGAAUACUGUUUCUUGAUGAUGCCAGUCAUCACAUUUUGAAAGUGAGAGGAAUAAAAAGACUUAUCUGUUUUCUAUAAAUGAGCA
ensembl:lncRNA